UUAAGGGCGCACGGUGGAUGCCUUGGCACUAGAAGCCGAUGAAGGACGUUACUAACGACGAUAUGCUUUGGGGAGCUGUAAGUAAGCUUUGAUCCAGAGAUUUCCGAAUGGGGAAACCCAGCAUGAGUUAUGUCAUGUUAUCGAUAUGUGAAUACAUAGCAUAUCAGAAGGCACACCCGGAGAACUGAAACAUCUUAGUACCCGGAGGAAGAAAAAGAAAAUUCGAUUCCCUUAGUAGCGGCGAGCGAAACGGGAAGAGCCCAAACCAACAAGCUUGCUUGUUGGGGUUGUAGGACACUCUAUACGGAGUUACAAAGGACGACAUUAGACGAAUCAUCUGGAAAGAUGAAUCAAAGAAGGUAAUAAUCCUGUAGUCGAAAAUGUUGUCUCUCUUGAGUGGAUCCUGAGUACGACGGAGCACGUGAAAUUCCGUCGGAAUCUGGGAGGACCAUCUCCUAAGGCUAAAUACUCUCUAGUGACCGAUAGUGAACCAGUACCGUGAGGGAAAGGUGAAAAGCACCCCGGAAGGGGAGUGAAAUAGAACCUGAAACCGUGUGCUUACAAGUAGUCAGAGCCCGUUAAUGGGUGAUGGCGUGCCUUUUGUAGAAUGAACCGGCGAGUUACGAUUUGAUGCAAGGUUAAGCAGUAAAUGUGGAGCCGUAGCGAAAGCGAGUCUGAAUAGGGCGUUUAGUAUUUGGUCGUAGACCCGAAACCAGGUGAUCUACCCUUGGUCAGGUUGAAGUUCAGGUAACACUGAAUGGAGGACCGAACCGACUUACGUUGAAAAGUGAGCGGAUGAACUGAGGGUAGCGGAGAAAUUCCAAUCGAACCUGGAGAUAGCUGGUUCUCUCCGAAAUAGCUUUAGGGCUAGCCUCAAGUGAUGAUUAUUGGAGGUAGAGCACUGUUUGGACGAGGGGCCCCUCUCGGGUUACCGAAUUCAGACAAACUCCGAAUGCCAAUUAAUUUAACUUGGGAGUCAGAACAUGGGUGAUAAGGUCCGUGUUCGAAAGGGAAACAGCCCAGACCACCAGCUAAGGUCCCAAAAUAUAUGUUAAGUGGAAAAGGAUGUGGCGUUGCCCAGACAACUAGGAUGUUGGCUUAGAAGCAGCCAUCAUUUAAAGAGUGCGUAAUAGCUCACUAGUCGAGUGACACUGCGCCGAAAAUGUACCGGGGCUAAACAUAUUACCGAAGCUGUGGAUUGUCCUUUGGACAAUGGUAGGAGAGCGUUCUAAGGGCGUUGAAGCAUGAUCGUAAGGACAUGUGGAGCGCUUAGAAGUGAGAAUGCCGGUGUGAGUAGCGAAAGACGGGUGAGAAUCCCGUCCACCGAUUGACUAAGGUUUCCAGAGGAAGGCUCGUCCGCUCUGGGUUAGUCGGGUCCUAAGCUGAGGCCGACAGGCGUAGGCGAUGGAUAACAGGUUGAUAUUCCUGUACCACCUAUAAUCGUUUUAAUCGAUGGGGGACGCAGUAGGAUAGGCGAAGCGUGCGAUUGGAUUGCACGUCUAAGCAGUAAGGCUGAGUAUUAGGCAAAUCCGGUACUCGUUAAGGCUGAGCUGUGAUGGGGAGAAGACAUUGUGUCUUCGAGUCGUUGAUUUCACACUGCCGAGAAAAGCCUCUAGAUAGAAAAUAGGUGCCCGUACCGCAAACCGACACAGGUAGUCAAGAUGAGAAUUCUAAGGUGAGCGAGCGAACUCUCGUUAAGGAACUCGGCAAAAUGACCCCGUAACUUCGGGAGAAGGGGUGCUCUUUAGGGUUAACGCCCAGAAGAGCCGCAGUGAAUAGGCCCAAGCGACUGUUUAUCAAAAACACAGGUCUCUGCUAAACCGUAAGGUGAUGUAUAGGGGCUGACGCCUGCCCGGUGCUGGAAGGUUAAGAGGAGUGGUUAGCUUCUGCGAAGCUACGAAUCGAAGCCCCAGUAAACGGCGGCCGUAACUAUAACGGUCCUAAGGUAGCGAAAUUCCUUGUCGGGUAAGUUCCGACCCGCACGAAAGGCGUAACGAUUUGGGCACUGUCUCAACGAGAGACUCGGUGAAAUCAUAGUACCUGUGAAGAUGCAGGUUACCCGCGACAGGACGGAAAGACCCCGUGGAGCUUUACUGUAGCCUGAUAUUGAAAUUCGGCACAGCUUGUACAGGAUAGGUAGGAGCCUUUGAAACGUGAGCGCUAGCUUACGUGGAGGCGCUGGUGGGAUACUACCCUAGCUGUGUUGGCUUUCUAACCCGCACCACUUAUCGUGGUGGGAGACAGUGUCAGGCGGGCAGUUUGACUGGGGCGGUCGCCUCCUAAAAGGUAACGGAGGCGCUCAAAGGUUCCCUCAGAAUGGUUGGAAAUCAUUCAUAGAGUGUAAAGGCAUAAGGGAGCUUGACUGCGAGACCUACAAGUCGAGCAGGGUCGAAAGACGGACUUAGUGAUCCGGUGGUUCCGCAUGGAAGGGCCAUCGCUCAACGGAUAAAAGCUACCCCGGGGAUAACAGGCUUAUCUCCCCCAAGAGUUCACAUCGACGGGGAGGUUUGGCACCUCGAUGUCGGCUCAUCGCAUCCUGGGGCUGUAGUCGGUCCCAAGGGUUGGGCUGUUCGCCCAUUAAAGCGGUACGCGAGCUGGGUUCAGAACGUCGUGAGACAGUUCGGUCCCUAUCCGUCGUGGGCGUAGGAAAUUUGAGAGGAGCUGUCCUUAGUACGAGAGGACCGGGAUGGACAUACCUCUGGUGUACCAGUUGUCGUGCCAACGGCAUAGCUGGGUAGCUAUGUGUGGACGGGAUAAGUGCUGAAAGCAUCUAAGCAUGAAGCCCCCCUCAAGAUGAGAUUUCCCAACUUCGGUUAUAAGAUCCCUCAAAGAUGAUGAGGUUAAUAGGUUCGAGGUGGAAGCAUGGUGACAUGUGGAGCUGACGAAUACUAAUCGAUCGAAGACUUAAUC
rnacentral:rRNA from 1 species